rnacentral:rRNA from 1 species
UACGGAGGGGGCGAGCGUUGUCCGGAAUUAUUGGGCGUAAAGCGCGCGUAGGCGGCUGCUCAAGUCUGUUGUGAAAGCCCACGGCUCAACCGUGAAAGGGCGGUGGAAACUGUUCGGCUAGAGACCGGUAGAGGUGGGUGGAAUUCCCGGUGUAGCGGUGAAAUGCGUAGAUAUCGGGAAGAACACCCGUGGCGAAAGCGGCUCUCUGGGCCGGUACUGACGCUGAGGCGCGAAAGCUAGGGGAGCGAACGGG